UAUAUUUAAAAAAAAAAGAGGAAAAUAGAGGGCCUUUGCCCCCUCUCCUUCUCCCUUUCCUAUUUUUCUCCUUUGGCUAAGGUUAGGAAACCCAUCAUCGCCGCUGUUACCACGGCAACACCACAAGCGAUGGUCGACGACGCGAAUGGGUGAGGUCAUUUAGCCCCUUUUCAAGGCAUCCCCGAAGGCUACGCCUUCUCGAUCUUCCCCCAUUUGGUUCAACCCCGACAACGGAAGAGGAACCCUGGCGACGAAACUUCAGACAAUCCCGGUGCCAUGCGACGCGUGAAAGGGGCGACGGUCAGGGGUGUGGUGGCCGAGGUGGCAUGCGUGGUGGUGUGCGAGGUGGCCACUGGUUGGCCUGGUGUGCGGCUGAGGCUUGGGGGCUGAGUUUUUUUUGCUGCUGAAAAUGUUUAGUUUGUUGGGCUAGGUGGCCUUUAGGGUUUUGUAUUAUUUGGGUCAUUGUAAUUGGGUUUGGGCUGUUCAAUGUGGAAAUUGGGCUUGCUGUUUUUUCUUUUCUUUUUUUUUGUAAAAUGGAAUUUGUUUUGGGACUUUUAUAUUUUAGAAUUAAUUUGGGUUUUUAUUUCUUGUUGGCUAGGCCAAAA